AUCUGACGCUGGGUUCUAGUCUGGUAUCUGACGCUGGGUUCUAGGUUCUAGUCUGGUAUCUGACGCUGGGUUCUAGUCUGGUAUCUGACGUAGGGUUCUAGUCUGGUAUCUGACGCUGGGUUCUAGUCUGGUAUCUAACGCUGGGUUCUAGUCUGGUAUCUGACGCUGGGUUCUAGUCUGGUAUCUAACGCUGGGUUCUAGUCUGGUAUCUGACGCUGGGUUCUAGUCUGGUAUCUAACGCUGGGUUCUAGUCUGGUAUCUGACGCAGAGUUCUAGUCUGGUAUCUGACGCUGGGUUCUAGUCUGGUAUCUGACGCUGGGUUCUAGUCUGGUAUCUGACGCUGGGUUCUAGUCUGGUAUCUGACGCUGGGUUCUAGUCUGGUAUCUGACGCUGGGUUCUAGUCUGGUAUCUGACGCUGGGUUCUAGUCUGGUAUCUGACGCUGGGUUCUAGUCUGGUAUCUGACGCUGGGUUCUAGUCUGGUAUCUGACGCUGGGUUCUAGUCUGGUAUCUGACGCUGGGUUCUAGGUUCUAGUCUAUGUGAUGUGUUGUAGUUCCUAGCGUGGGACAGUCCAGGCCAGGUAUCUGACUAUGUGAUGUGUUGUAGUUCCUAGCGUGGGACAGUCCAGGCCUGGUAUCUGACUAUGUGUUGUAGUUCCUAGCGUGGGACAGUCCAGGCCAGGUAUCUGACUAUGUGUUGUAGUUCCUAGCGUGGGACAGUCCAGGCCAGGUAUCUGACUAUGUGUUGUAGUUCCUAGCGUGGGACAGUCCAGGCCAGGUAUCUGACUAUGUGUUGUGUUGUAGUUCCUAGCGUGGGACAGUCCAGGCCAGGUAUCUGACUAUGUGUUGUGUUGUAGUUCCUAGCGUGGGACAGUCCAGGCCUGGUAUCUGACUAUGUGUUGUAGUUCCUAGCGUGGGACAGUCCAGGCCAGGUAUCUGACUAUGUGUUGUAGUUCCUAGCGUGGGACAGUCCAGGCCAGGUAUCUGACUAUGUGUUGUAGUUCCUAGCGUGGGACAGUCCAGGCCUGGUAUCUGACUAUGUGUUGUAGUUCCUAGCGUGGGACAGUCCAGGCCUGGUAUCUGACUAUGUGUUGUAGUUCCUAGUGUGGGACAGUCCAGGCCUGGUAUCUGACUAUGUGUUGUAGUUCCUAGCGUGGGACAGUCCAGGCCAGGUAUCUGACUAUGUGUUGUAGUUCCUAGCGUGGGACAGUCCAGGCCAGGUAUCUGACUAUGUGUUGUAGUUCCUAGCGUGGGACAGUCCAGGCCUGGUAUCUGACUAUGUGUUGUAGUUCCUAGCGUGGGACAGUCCAGGCCUGGUAUCUGACUAUGUGUUGUAGUUCCUAGUGUGGGACAGUCCAGGCCUGGUAUCUGACUAUGUGUUGUAGUUCCUAGCGUGGGACAGUCCAGGCCUGGUAUCUGACUAUGUGUUGUAGUUCCUAGUGUGGGACAGUCCAGGCCUGGUAUCUGACUAUGUGUUGUAGUUCCUAGCGUGGGACAGUCCAGGCCUGGUAUCUGACUAUGUGUUGUAGUUCCUAGCGUGGGACAGUCCAGGCCUGGUAUCUGACUAUGUGUUGUAGUUCCUAGCGUGGGACAGUCCAGGCCUGGUAUCUGACUAUGUGUUGUAGUUCCUAGCGUGGGACAGUCCAGGCCUGGUAUCUGACUAUGUGAUGUGUUGUAGUUCCUAGCGUGGGACAGUCCAGGCCUGGUAUCUGACUAUGUGUUGUAGUUCCUAGCGUGGGACAGUCCAGGCCUGGUAUCUGACUAUGUGUUGUAGUUCCUAGCGUGGGACAGUCCAGGCCUGGUAUCUGACUAUGUGUUGUAGUUCCUAGCGUGGGACAGUCCAGGCCAGGUAUCUGACUAUGUGUUGUAGUUCCUAGCGUGGGACAGUCCAGGCCUGGUAUCUGACUAUGUGAUGUAGUUCCUAGCGUGGGACAGUCCAGGCCUGGUAUCUGACUAUGUGAUGUAGUUCCUAGCGUGGGACAGUCCAGGCCUGGUAUCUGACUAUGUGUUGUAGUUCCUAGCGUGGGACAGUCCAGGCCUGGUAUCUGACUAUGUGAUGUGUUGUAGUUCCUAGCGUGGGACAGUCCAGGCCUGGUAUCUGACUAUGUGUUGUAGUUCCUAGCGUGGGACAGUCCAGGCCUGGUAUCUGACUAUGUGUUGUAGUUCCUAGCGUGGGACAGUCCAGGCCUGGUAUCUGACUAUGUGAUGUGUUGUAGUUCCUAGCGUGGGACAGUCCAGGCCUGGUAUCUGACUAUGUGUUGUAGUUCCUAGCGUGGGACAGUCCAGGCCUGGUAUCUGACUAUGUGUUGUAGUUCCUAGCGUGGGACAGUCCAGGCCAGGUAUCUGACUAUGUGUUGUAGUUCCUAGCGUGGGACAGUCCAGGCCUGGUAUCUGACUAUGUGUUGUAGUUCCUAGCGUGGGACAGUCCAGGCCUGGUAUCUGACUAUGUGUUGUAGUUCCUAGCGUGGGACAGUCCAGGCCUGGUAUCUGACUAUGUGUUGUAGUUCCUAGCGUGGGACAGUCCAGGCCAGGUAUCUGACUAUGUGUUGUAGUUCCUAGCGUGGGACAGUCCAGGCCUGGUAUCUGACUAUGUGUUGUAGUUCCUAGCGUGGGACAGUCCAGGCCUGGUAUCUGACUAUGUGAUGUGUUGUAGUUCCUAGCGUGGGACAGUCCAGGCCUGGUAUCUGACUAUGUGUUGUAGUUCCUAGCGUGGGACAGUCCAGGCCAGGUAUCUGACUAUGUGUUGUAGUUCCUAGCGUGGGACAGUCCAGGCCUGGUAUCUGACUAUGUGAUGUGUUGUAGUUCCUAGCGUGGGACAGUCCAGGCCAGGUAUCUGACUAUGUGAUGUGUUGUAGUUCCUAGCGUGGGACAGUCCAGGCCUGGUAUCUGACUAUGUGAUGUGUUGUAGUUCCUAGCGUGGGACAGUCCAGGCCUGGUAUCUGACUAUGUGUUGUAGUUCCUAGCGUGGGACAGUCCAGGCCUGGUAUCUGACUAUGUGUUGUAGUUCCUAGCGUGGGACAGUCCAGGCCUGGUAUCUGACUAUGUGUUGUAGUUCCUAGCGUGGGACAGUCCAGGCCAGGUAUCUGACUAUGUGUUGUAGUUCCUAGCGUGGGACAGUCCAGGCCAGGUAUCUGACUAUGUGUUGUAGUUCCUAGCGUGGGACAGUCCAGGCCUGGUAUCUGACUAUGUGUUGUAGUUCCUAGCGUGGGACAGUCCAGGCCUGGUAUCUGACUAUGUGUUGUAGUUCCUAGCGUGGGACAGUCCAGGCCUGGUAUCUGACUAUGUGUUGUAGUUCCUAGCGUGGGACAGUCCAGGCCUGGUAUCUGACUAUGUGUUGUAGUUCCUAGCGUGGGACAGUCCAGGCCUGGUAUCUGACUAUGUGAUGUAGUUCCUAGCGUGGGACAGUCCAGGCCAGGUAUCUGACUAUGUGUUGUAGUUCCUAGCGUGGGACAGUCCAGGUCUGGUAUCUGACUAUGUGUUGUAGUUCCUAGCGUGGGACAGUCCAGGCCUGGUAUCUGACUAUGUGUUGUAGUUCCUAGCGUGGGACAGUCCAGGCCUGGUAUCUGACUAUGUGAUGUGUUGUAGUUCCUAGCGUGGGACAGUCCAGGCCUGGUAUCUGACUAUGUGAUGUAGUUCCUAGCGUGGGACAGUCCAGGCCUGGUAUCUGACUAUGUGAUGUGUUGUAGUUCCUAGCGUGGGACAGUCCAGGCCUGGUAUCUGACUAUGUGUUGUAGUUCCUAGCGUGGGACAGUCCAGGCCUGGUAUCUGACUAUGUGUUGUAGUUCCUAGCGUGGGACAGUCCAGGCCAGGUAUCUGACUAUGUGAUGUGUUGUAGUUCCUAGCGUGGGACAGUCCAGGCCUGGUAUCUGACUAUGUGUUGUAGUUCCUAGCGUGGGACAGUCCAGGCCUGGUAUCUGACUAUGUGUUGUAGUUCCUAGCGUGGGACAGUCCAGGCCAGGUAUCUGACUAUGUGUUGUAGUUCCUAGCGUGGGACAGUCCAGGCCUGGUAUCUGACUAUGUGUUGUAGUUCCUAGCGUGGGACAGUCCAGGCCAGGUAUCUGACUAUGUGUUGUAGUUCCUAGCGUGGGACAGUCCAGGCCUGGUAUCUGACUAUGUGUUGUAGUUCCUAGCGUGGGACAGUCCAGGCCAGGUAUCUGACUAUGUGUUGUAGUUCCUAGCGUGGGACAGUCCAGGCCUGGUAUCUGACUAUGUGUUGUAGUUCCUAGCGUGGGACAGUCCAGGCCUGGUAUCUGACUAUGUGAUGUGUUGUAGUUCCUAGCGUGGGACAGUCCAGGCCUGGUAUCUGACUAUGUGUUGUAGUUCCUAGCGUGGGACAGUCCAGGCUGGUAUCUGACUAUGUGUUGUAGUUCCUAGCGUGGGACAGUCCAGGCCUGGUAUCUGACUAUGUGUUGUGUUGUAGUUCCUAGCGUGGGACAGUCCAGGCCUGGUAUCUGACUAUGUGUUGUGUUGUAGUUCCUAGCGUGGGACAGUCCAGGCCUGGUAUCUGACUAUGUGUUGUAGUUCCUAGCGUGGGACAGUCCAGGCCUGGUAUCUGACUAUGUGUUGUGUUGUAGUUCCUAGCGUGGGACAGUCCAGGCCUGGUAUCUGACUAUGUGUUGUGUUGUAGUUCCUAGCGUGGGACAGUCCAGGCCUGGUAUCUGACUAUGUGUUGUAGUUCCUAGCGUGGGACAGUCCAGGCUGGUAUCUGACUAUGUGUUGUAGUUCCUAGCGUGGGACAGUCCAGGCCUGGUAUCUGACUAUGUGUUGUAGUUCCUAGCGUGGGACAGUCCAGGCCUGGUAUCUGACUAUGUGUUGUAGUUCCUAGCGUGGGACAGUCCAGGCCUGGUAUCUGACUAUGUGUUGUAGUUCCUAGCGUGGGACAGUCCAGGCCUGGUAUCUGACUAUGUGUUGUAGUUCCUAGCGUGGGACAGUCCAGGCCAGGUAUCUGACUAUGUGUUGUAGUUCCUAGCGUGGGACAGUCCAGGCCUGGUAUCUGACUAUGUGUUGUAGUUCCUAGCGUGGGACAGUCCAGGCCAGGUAUCUGACUAUGUGUUGUAGUUCCUAGCGUGGGACAGUCCAGGCCUGGUAUCUGACUAUGUGAUGUGUUGUAGUUCCUAGCGUGGGACAGUCCAGGCCUGGUAUCUGACUAUGUGUUGUAGUUCCUAGCGUGGGACAGUCCAGGCCUGGUAUCUGACUAUGUGUUGUAGUUCCUAGCGUGGGACAGUCCAGGCCUGGUAUCUGACUAUGUGUUGUAGUUCCUAGCGUGGGACAGUCCA